rnacentral:rRNA from 1 species
GACGAACGCUGGCGGCGUGCCUAAUACAUGCAAGUUGAACGCUAAAGCUUUAACUGGUGCUUGCACCGACCUAAGUUUUUAGAGUAGCGGACGGGUGAGUAACACGUGGGCAACCUGCCCUUAAGACUGGGAUAACUCCGGGAAACCGGGGCUAAUACCGGAUAAUUGAAAGAACCUCCUGGUUCUUUUAUGAAAGGCGGCUUCGGCUGUCACUUAAGGAUGGGCCCGCGGCGCAUUAGCUAGUUGGUGAGGUAACGGCUCACCAAGGCAACGAUGCGUAGCCGACCUGAGAGGGUGAUCGGCCACACUGGGACUGAGACACGGCCCAGACUCCUACGGGAGGCAGCAGUAGGGAAUCUUCCGCAAUGGACGAAAGUCUGACGGAGCAACGCCGCGUGAGUGAAGAAGGUUUUCGGAUCGUAAAGCUCUGUUGUCAGGGAAGAACAAGUACCAUAGUAACUGAUGGUACCUUGACGGUACCUGACCAGAAAGCCACGGCUAACUACGUGCCAGCAGCCGCCGUAACAC